UUCGGAGGGUUUGAUCCUGGCUCAGGACUAACGCUGGCGGCGUGUCUUAGCCAUGCAAGUCGAACGCUUCGUAGAGCUUUUGCUUUACGAAGAGUGGCGAACUGGUGAGUAACGCGUGAGUAAUCUGCUCCCGAGAGGGGGAUAAUUCAGUGAAAGCGGAACUAAUACCCCAUAUUGUCGCAGGUAUUUUACCUGUGAUAAAAGAUGACCUCUGAUUUAAGUUAUCACUUGGUAAGGAGCUCGCGUCCUAUUAGUUUGUUGGUGAGGUAAUGGCUCACCAAGACUACGAUAGGUAGCCGGCCUAAGAGGGUGAUCGGCCACACUGGGACUGAGACACUGCCCAGACUCCUACGGGAGGCAGCAGGCUAGAAAUUUGCGCAAUGGGCGAAAGCCUGACGCAGCGACGCCGCGUGGAGGAUGAAGGCCUUACCGGUUGUAAACUCCUUUUGGAAAGGAUGAAGUCCAAAAGAACCAAUAAUUCUUUUAGAUGACAGUACUUUCAGAAAAAGCUCCGGCUAACUCCGUGCCAGCAGCCGCGGUAAUACGGAGGGAGCAAGCGUU
rnacentral:rRNA from 1 species